rnacentral:lncRNA from 1 species
AAGGGUUUUAAGAACUCUAUCUCAGGAUAAAGACCUGAGGGUCACAUGUACAUUGCUGGCCCCAGCUGGAUUUUCCCAGGGUCAGGUGCCCAUUCCUACCUAAUCAAAGGUCAUGAGUCCUCACACAUUUUCAAGAGUUUGGAAAAUGAUCUCCCUUGCCAGAUUGCCAAUCUUCAAAGGGAGGUCUAUAUGUGGAAGAAAAAGAAAAAAUUUAUGUGCAUUUACCCUGUUUAAUACACUCAUCAUAUAUAGUAUUUUUGCAACAGCAAAAAUAACACUCAAUUUAGUAUGUAAUUAUAUAUGUCAUAUACUUAAUAUACAAAAUAUUUUCCUUGCUAACCUAUACGAUUUCAAAUGCCUGGAACAUGAGAUAAUUCAUGUGAUUACUUGAGAGUAUGUAAAUUUUAAUAUGUUAACAUAUACUGGCAAAGUUCUAAAAGUUGUGAUUUUAUGGGAGGCCAAAUUAUGUACAUAUUAGUUUGUCUGAAGACUUGAGCCAAAAGGAAACUAAUACACUUUUGAGCUACAAUAUGGACAUAAUGUCAUGAAGCAGGAACAUUAUGCUCCAUUUCAGGACACUUCUGCUGACCUGCACCUAGAAUACCCUGUUCUGUGCUGAUGACUCAGAUGUAAGAAUGAUGAAGUGCAUCAGUUGGCAUGCAGAGAACAAUAAGAAAAAGAACUGAGUUGUGGGAAGACAUGAGGAAAGGACAUGAGGCUCUUAAUAACAGCUGCCAAGUACUGCAGUCGGGAAUCUGGAGCAAAGUGAUUCAAUUCUGACCACUGCCUGUGAGUAAAUGGGAUUUU